GAUGAACGCUGGCGGCGUGCCUAAUACAUGCAAGUCGAGCGAACAGAUCAGGCUCUUGCUCCUUUCACGUUUGCGGCGGACGUGUGUGUAACACGUGGGUCCCCUCCCUAUCAUACUGGGAUCACUUCGGGACACCGGCGCUAAUACCGGAUAAUCUUCCGCACCAUAUGGUUCGUUGGUGAAAGAUGGUUUUGCUGUCACUUCUCGCUGCUCCCGCGCCGUAUGAGCUAGUUGUUAAGUUCAAGGCGUACCAAGGGGACGAUACGUAGCCGAAGUGAGAGGGGGAUCGGCCACAUUGGAAGUGAGACACGGUCAAGACGACUAAGGGAGGCAGCAGUAGGGAAUGGGACGCAAUGGGCGAAAGCCUGACGGAGCAAGGCCGCGUGAGAGAUGAAGGUCUUGGGAGCGUAAAAACCGGUUACUAGGGAAGAACAGACGUGGAAGGAAAUGUGGACGGAGUGACGGUACCGAAUCAGAAAGCAACGGCUAACUACGUG
rnacentral:rRNA from 1 species